GUCGGGUGCGGAGGCGCACACCUGUAAUCCCAGCUACUUGGGGGCUGAGGCAGGAGAAUUGCUUGAACUCGGGAGGCGGAGGCUGCAGUGAGCCGAGAUCGUGCCACUGCACUCCAGCCUGGGUGACAGAGCGAGACUCCGUCUCAC
ensembl:misc_RNA Metazoa_SRP Metazoan signal recognition particle RNA